rnacentral:piRNA from 1 species
UAUGAAGCUUAUCCAUGCUGCUACUCACA